rnacentral:rRNA from 1 species
AGUUUGCCUUCCUGAAACGAGAUGGAGCACUCGAAGCAGCCGUCUUGCUGCAUACCCUUCUGCGACACGCACACACCUCAUUCCACUCUCUAGCUUUCGCCUCCUUGGACCUCUCAAAGGCUUUUGAUUCUAUCUCCCACGACUCUAUCCUUCGCUCAGCAGCCACUUUCGGCGCACCACCCAUUUUGCUGGACUACUUCAGUUAUUCGUACGCCACAGCCUCCAGUGUUCUACCGGACCUCUCCACAAUAACACCUCGUCGUGGGGUCCAUCAAGGUGAUCCUCUGUCACCCCUCUUGUUCAUCAAAGCGAUUGACAAGAUACUUUCGUUAUCGCACCCACAGACUUCUUUCCUUACACCCUCCGGUCCAGUCGAUGCCAUCGCAUACGCAGAUGACCUUAUUCUCUUCGCUGACUCCGCAGACGGCCUGCAGAAUAAGCUGUCCGAUUGUUCCGCUACUUGUGGCAUGUCAGGCCUUGUGUUUAACAUCCAAAAAUCUUUCUCCGCUUCUAUUAUCACUUCGCCCAAAGAAAAGGUUUCGGCGUUAGAAAACACCACCCUCUUUGUAAACGGCCACCCCAUACGCACUCUUUCCACCUCCGACACUUUCUCUUACCUAGGUACGCCUUUUACUUAUCGCGGCAAGGCGGGUGUUGAUUAUUCAAACACUCUUCGCACUUCGCUGCAGGAUGCCAUUUCUGCCCCUCUCCGCCCAUUUCAACGUCUUUAUAUUCUCCGUUUUCAUAUUAUUUCCCGGCUGCACCACACACUGCCUCGGCGUCAUUCACAAGACACUGAAGCGACUUGAACUGCAAGUGAGGCACUGCGCUCGAAAGUUCCUGCGUCCGCCCAAAGAUACACCUACAGCGUACUUUCACUCUCGAUGCUCAGAUAGCGGACUCAGUAUCCUCCACCUCUCGUCUCAGAUCCCUCUCAUCCGUCGGAAAAGCCUGGAACGGCUGCUAUCGUCCACGGCUCCUCUUCUCAGGUGGGCGGGCACAUGUCCCGCAGCGGCUUCAUCUCAGACGAUCUCCCACGCCCCCAUAGCAAUUCAAAGGGCUUACAUCCAGUCCAAGGAGCAGGCCGCCGAUGCAUGGAAGGAUUCCCUCUACGGCACCCUCGACGGAAAGCAUAUCAGCUGCCAACAGUUCGCCGCUCCGUCAAAUCUCUGGAUCACGUCACCCACCAGGAUGCUCUCUCGAGACUUUAUCCACAACAUCAAACUGCGGUGUCACCUUCUAUCCACCAAGACGAGGAGCUCCCGGGGACUACGCAGCGCCGACGAUGUUCCCUGCCGAGGAGGCUGUGGACAGCCGAAAUCCCCAUCCCACAUCUUGCAGUCCUGCAGCGUCACUCACGACUCGCGAUGUCGCAGACACGACGACGUCGUCAACCUGCCCCUGAAAAGGCUGAUGCGCAUGGGGGCCACCUGCUAUAACGAACCAGGUAUACCACUUCAAAAGACUCUUUGUAAACCCGACGUCAUAGUCUCAAAAAAGAAUAUGGCCUUCGUAUGCGAUAUAGCGAUUCGUGACCCCUCGCUCAUCCAGCAGACUGACAAAUAAAGUCGCCAAGUAUUCCACUCCAGUAGUCAAUAAGGCGAUUCAAUCGUUCCUAUCGGCCGGUGGCCACGGCACUCCCAACAUUGUACACAGACCCAUUGUUUUCACAUAAAACGGUUUUGUACAUAAGUCCUCCGCAUCAACCCUGCGGCAGUUUCACCUCUCCCCCUUGGAUGUUCUGGACUUGGUGUCUACCACAAUGCGUGGAUCCACCAAAACAUACCUCUGUUACAUGAGAGGUCCCAAUUAAGACCACACCCCAACUCAUCCCAACAUCUCUAUGUCCACACAUUUGCACUUUUUCAAUGACUCGCACUACCAUUCCGCUAGCGCACAGAUAUAUUCCACUCUGGUGAUCCAAUUACUGUACUGUGUACAGCGCUUGUCACAAUCAAUGUCGAAACCGCUUCAUUUGACUAUGUUUGACAAAAAUAUAUGUUGUACCAAAAUGCCUCGUCAUCUAAUUAGUGAAGCGCAAGAAUGGAUUAACGAAAUUCCUACUGUCCCUAUCUACUAUCUAGCAAAACCACAGCCAAGGGAACGGACUUGGCAGAAUUAGCGGGGAAAGAAGACCCUGCUGAGCUUGACUCUAGUCCGACUUUGUGAAGAGACAUGACGGGUGUAGAAUAAGUGGGAGACUGGCCCUUCGGGGCUUGCCGACAGUGAAAUACCACCACCGUCAUUGUUUCUUUGCUUAUUCAGUAAAACGAGAAAUAGAUUUUUGUUCUGAGUACAUGCUGGCGUCCUUGGCGUAUGCUGCGCGGGAUGGUAUCUUGGUCAUGUCAGAGCAGUUGUGGUCUCGGCCGCGGCGUCUGAGCCUGAUUGUGAUGUGCAACCAGUUCUGAAGACAAUGUUAGGUGGGGAGUUUGACUGGGGCGGUACAUCUGUCAAAUGGUAACGCAGGUGUCCCAAGGUGAGCUCAGCCAGGACGGGAACCUGGCGUGGAGUAAAAGGGCAAAAGCUUACUUCAUUUUGAUUUUCAGUACGAAUACAGACCGCGAAGGCGCGGCCUAUCGAUCCUUUUGAAUCCGAUAUUCAGAGUUUGAAGCAAGAGGUGUCAGAAAAGUUACCACGGGGAUAACUGGCUUGUGGCGGCCAAACGUGUAUAGCUACGUCGCUUUUCGAUCGUUAGAUGUCGGUUCUCCCUAGCGUUGCGACGCAGAAAUCACCAAGCUUUGGAUUGUUCACCCACCAAUAAGGAACGUGAGCCGGGUUGAGACCGUCGUGAGGCAGGUUAGUUUUACCCUAUCAAUGAGUAUAUUGAAACAGUGAAGUACAAACUGGCCGUUGCUAUGGUAUUCCUGUUUAGCACGAGAGGAACCGCAGGUUCAGAUAUUUGGUAUAUGUGCCUGGCCGAAAGGCCAAUGGUGCGAAGUUACCAUCUGAGGGAUUAGGACUGAACGCCUCUAGGUCUGAAUCCCGUCCAGAUAUGCAACAGUAUAUUCCGAGUCUGACACGUGGCUAGGCAAGCCUACGUAUUCCUGCCGGUGCUUGGUUCAGGCUAUGCGUUUGGCUAAGUCCGGUGGGCCUGGUGUGACGCCAGAGCGAUAUGACCAAAACUGUACUCUGGACU